rnacentral:rRNA from 1 species
AUUGAACGCUGGCGGCAUGCCUUACACAUGCAAGUCGAACGGCAGCAUGGAGGAGCUUGCUCCUCUGAUGGCGAGUGGCGAACGGGUGAGUAAAGCAUCGGAACGUACCGUGUAGUGGGGGAUAACGUAGCGAAAGUUACGCUAAUACCGCAUACGCACUGAGGUGGAAAGCAGGGGAUCGCAAGACCUUGCGCUAUACGAGCGGCCGAUGUCAGAUUAGCUAGUUGGUAGGGUAAUGGCCUACCAAGGCUGUGAUGGGUAGCCGGCCUGAGAGGGUGAUCGGCCACACUGGAACUGAGACACGGUCCAGACUCCUACGGGUGGCUG